UACGUAGGUGACAAGCGUUGUCCGGAUUUACUGGGCGUAAAGAGCGCGCAGGCGGUCGUUCAAGUCGAGUGUGAAAGCCCCCGGCUCAACUGGGGAGGGUCACUCGAUACUGAUCGACUCGAAGGCAGGAGAGGGAAGUGGAAUUCCCGGUGUAGUGGUGAAAUGCGUAGAUAUCGGGAGGAACACUAGUGGCGAAGGCGACUUCCUGGCCUGUUCUUGACGCUGAGGCGCGAAAGCUAGGGGAGCAAACGGG
rnacentral:rRNA from 1 species